AAGAUAGCUUGCUAUUUUUAUGAAGAGCGGCGAACGGGUGAGUAACGCGUGGGAAAUCUGCCGAGUAGCGGGGGACAACGUUUGGAAACGAACGCUAAUACCGCAUAACAAUGAGAAUCGCAUGAUUCUUAUUUAAAAGAAGCAAUUGCUUCACUACUUGAUGAUCCCGCGUUGUAUUAGCUAGUUGGUAGUGUAAAGGACUACCAAGGCGAUGAUACAUAGCCGACCUGAGAGGGUGAUCGGCCACACUGGGACUGAGACACGGCCCAGACUCCUACGGGAGGCAGCAGUAGGGAAUCUUCGGCAAUGGGGGCAACCCUGACCGAGCAACGCCGCGUGAGUGAAGAAGGUUUUCGGAUCGUAAAACUCUGUUGUUAGAGAAGAACGUUAAGUAGAGUGGAAAAUUACUUAAGUGACGGUAUCUAACCAGAAAGGGACGGCUAACUACGUGCCAGCAGCCGCGGUAAUACGUAGGUCCCAAGCGUUGUCCGGAUUUAUUGGGCGUAAAGCGAGCGCAGGUGGUUUCUUAAGUCUGAUGUAAAAGGCAGUGGCUCAACCAUUGUGUGCAUUGGAAACUGGGAGACUUGAGUGCAGGAGAGGAGAGUGGAAAUCCAUGGG
rnacentral:rRNA from 1 species